rnacentral:rRNA from 1 species
AUGACGUGCUUGCACUGAAUGAGAUUUUAACACGAAGUGAGUGGCGGACGGGUGAGUAACACGUGGGUAACCUGCCCAGAAGCAGGGGAUAACACCUGGAAACAGAUGCUAAUACCGUAUAACAGAGAAAACCGCCUGGUUUUCUUUUAAAAGAUGGCUCUGCUAUCACUUCUGGAUGGACCCGCGGCGCAUUAGCUAGUUGGUGAGGUAACGGCUCACCAAGGCGAUGAUGCGUAGCCGACCUGAGAGGGUAAUCGGCCACAUUGGGACUGAGACACGGCCCAGACUCCUACGGGAGGCAGCAGUAGGGAAUCUUCCACGAUGGACGCAAGUCUGAUGGAGCAACGCCGCGUGAGUGAAGAAGGGUUUCGGCUCNUAAAGCUCUGUUGUU